rnacentral:lncRNA from 1 species
AAUUGAUACGGUUUAGAGCUGUGAGCAAAAGGGACAUUUAUAUUUCUUUUCCUUUUUCUGUUUCUCAGACUCACAGGUACGUGAGUUCCAUAGUGUCGGGUUUGAAAUAUAAAUAAGCAAGUGAGAGAACACCAAACUGAACAAAACACCAAUCUAUUCUCCAGUCUCCACCCGCCGCCCCCUUGCGGAGGUGGAGACUUGGAACGCAUCUUGCUUCCCGUCCUCGGACAUCCGCCAUGGAGUUUGUUCCUACAGCUGCAGCUGCACCCAUCAUGCGCGGGACACCGUCAGACUCGCCGCGUCCUCAUGUGGCCACAAGGACUGGUCUCUCCUGAGACGAAAUGGUAACAACCUGACACUGCUUCUCCCCCUAGACGCUGCCUACUGCCUCCCCACCCCAGGCCCUCGCCUGCCCUGAGCUCUGCACCCCCUGGACCGCAGGAGCUGGAUCACUUGGGGCACGGCUGGCCAGCGCUCCACCAAGGUGUGGCAUCCGUUCAUCUUUCAAGACCGACCGUGCUGGUGUGCUCGGGUUGCUGUGUGACCCCUGGAGUCACAACACUGACUUGAACAUCUUCCUCAUGGAAAAGGCAGCAAAGCGCUGACUACAAAGAUUGCUGCGGCCAAUGAACGCGCCUGAGCCAGCGUGCGGCACUCACCUUUGUCGGAGGACGCUGUCCUUCCGCCCUGGCCUACGUCCUUGUGGGUUGGCCUAUCUCUCAUUAACUGACUCAGUUAACUGUUCAAAUGGGCGAUUCCUUUUGAAAUCACAGCACUCCAUGGUUGAGUAUUGCCCAGGGAUUAUAAUUCCAAGCUCAUUACAGGCCAAACCUCCAGGGCCGGGUGACAUUUUAUCUAUGGAAGAUUGCCUGAAAAAUACAGAGAUGAGCCGCUCUGCUUUACCAUCUGCAAACGGCUGGACCCUCCUAGGACCCCUGAGGCCCACCCACGGCGGCUCGCUGCAGAAAAACAAGAGAACAUCUCUUGCCUCAAAGUAUGAGAUCCAUAGACACAGAGACAGAGGUUCGUUGCUGCAUUCCCAGCAAAGGGGGCGCUGGUACAUAAAUGAAAAAUAAAUUUUUAAUACAUAAAAAUAAAUACUUGUUCAGUUUCUUGUUGUGGAAUUCCUGAAAGCUCCCACACAAAUCCCUAGACCUGACCUUGGCCAAAUGCCCAUCUCUGUGCUAAUCUUUUCAUCAGGGGGAUCCAGUGCCCUAAUUACUCAGGUCUCAAUCACACCGCUCUCACCCCAAACCAGGGAGGGGUUUCUAACUAAACUGUGCGCUCUGCCAGACAGCGGGGAGGGCGGAUCUCUGAAGGAAAUCGAGGGCAUUACCAAGGAGAAACACCCUGGGCCGCCAGAACGGCAGAUAUGCUCGUGCUGGACUUCAGAGCAGGGGCUGCUGGAGUUGAAUGUUAAAGGGUGAGCAGGAAUUAGCUAAUAAAGAGGGCAGUUAUCAGUGGGGGGCUUUCUAGGUAUGUUCAAAGCACAGAAGCAUAAAAUAGCUUCAUGCUGUUGAAGAACUGUAAAUAGUGUCAUUCAGUCAGAGCAAACAAAGGUGGGGAGCUGUAGGAAAAUCAGCUACAGAGAUAGGCAGAAUGCAAACAUGAAGGACCUUUGAAACUAAUCCAAGGAGCACACGCUUUGUCCUGAAAGCCCCAGGAAACCUGUGUAGGAUUUUCAGCAGGCGCUUGCCUCACAGCUAAGCCCUGGCUGAUGGCUACAGGGUCUGGACCGAUUCAUUCUGCAAAUGCUGGAUGAGCCUGAGGCUGCAAGUCAAGGAAAAGAGCCCCAGAUAUGGAGGACUGAGGGAUACAGGGAAUAGGAACCGAGCAAAUUCUAGGAGUCAAGCAGGCCCGAGAACCACACAGCUACUCUUUCAGACACUAAGUUGCCCGGGGUGGGCUCAAACUUGCCAUCCUCCUGCCUCAGCCUCCCAGUGUGCUGGGAUUAUAGGCACUCACCACCGUAUAUCUGACUUGAAUUUCCCCUUUUUGUGAGGACAACAGUCCUAUAUCACUG